rnacentral:lncRNA from 15 species
AUGCUCAUCCCCCUUGCAUACCGCCGCGGCGUCCACAAUACGCCGAAAGCUCGGUUAAUCCUCCUGAUCACCGGCAGCGGCGGCUCGUCUUUCAGCGACAAACAGGCAUUAAAUGUUACUUUACCUUUUUUUUGGGGGGGGGGGGGGUGGAGGUGUGCGUGUGUGUGUCCUGUGCAGGCUGCCGGCUCGGUGACCUUGGAGCAGAAAGAUGCGUGUGUGUCUGUGUUGUGGACGGCUCUGUGUUUAAAUUUCCUGAGUGAGCCGCUGCCUGACGUGGACGUGGACGUGCCGCGGGCUGCAGAGGGCGGCGCUGCCCGCCUCCCUUCUAUUUUAGACCAGAGCCGCUCCGAAGGGUUGAGUGAGCCGUGCAGCACUCGGUACAUCCAGGGAUGAUCCAUGAGUGGGAGCAGGUCCUCUUCCAUGGAGUCCGCCAAGUUGAACUGCAAUGUUUCUACAGUAGCUCCAGAUAGGAGAGUUGCCAUAGUUUCUACAUGUUUGGUUGAGGCGAGCGAUUUAAGUUGACAGAUACAUUUGAUCUCGAUUAAUCAACAAUUGUUUCAGGUCUAAAACUCCAAAUGUGAUUCUCACAAGCAGAAAUUAAAAGUAUUAAUGGUCAUAUAUAUUUUUGUAUCAUUUAAUUAUUAGAAAUACUAUUAAUAUUAAUAGUAUUAUUAUUAUAAUGACAAAAGGCUAAAUAUUCUGAUGUGCUCGCUGCUGAAAGUGUACAGUUUAAACAUUUAGCAUAGCUGCAAUAAUAAAAAAAACUGAAAUUGAAGUGCUGGAAGAAGCUGAAUUUCCAGUUUAACUGACAGCAUUGAAUCAAUCUCAAAUUUCAGUUUCAGUGUGAGCACUGAGGGAAGCUGAAGUAUCAGUUCCAGUGAAAGUGCUGAAAGGAGUCAAAGAUUCUGUUAAACUUUGAAAGGUGAAGUGCCAUUUGAUGUUUAACCCCUAAAAGCACUUGAAUUAAUUAGUAGCCCAAGAUAUUAAAGCAGCUGAGAUGUGACUUGAGGAGGAGAAGAUGAAAGCAGUUGGUCAAAAUAGAUUGAUUUUCUGUACAUCAGCGUAUCAGAUGUUGUCUUUCUCCUAAAUGUUCUGUGCGUGCAUAAAGCCGCUGACAUCAGAGCGGCAAACUCAAUCUGGGUCAUUUGAGCUCAAUCCGCUGGAUUAUUGUGGAAGGGUCACAGUGAAGCCUGUGCAUAUGGUGAAAGUCUCUGGCCAAAUGUGAAGAAGAUAUUUAACUGCCUACAAGAAAAAUACAAUGAGAGAUGAAGUAACCGUGGAAAAUACUGUGCACCACAGACAUUAGGUAGCAAUAUAAUAGCCUCAUCCUCUGGGAAUCCAUAUUUAUCUGUUAUUUUGAAGUACUGAUAUAGUCAUAUAAACCAGGAUUAAAGAGAUUAAGCAUUAAAGAAUUUGAUUUAAAGCUAACAGUUAGUUGCCAAUGAGGCUAGCCUUAUUAUGUGCUUCAUUAGUCUUGAAAAUACAUUUGUGAGGAUUGCAUGAAUGAAUUUCUAUCAGGAUAAUUAUACUUAUGGAAGAAGAAGUCACCAGAAAGACAUUUGAGAAAGCUCUCUCGCUCUUACGGACACCACUGCUUCCAGCAUUAUCAUUUAGACUGUGGUUGAAUGUAACUGAGUACUCAAGUAGUGGACUUAAAGGACCAGUGUGUAGGAUUUAGCGGCAUCUAGUGGUGUAGUUGCAGAUUGCGACUCACUCGCUUCCUCCUCCCUGUCCAAGCACAAUGGUGGCAGCAAAAUGCACGAAAAAUGCUAAUGCCAGUGUUUGGUUUGUCCGUUCUAGGCUACUGUAGAAACAUAAUGGGUCAACAUGGCUGCUGCCUCAGAAGGCAACCUGCAGCAUCUGUAGAUAAAAACAGCUAAAAGUUAACAAUUCUUAUUAUUAGGUGAUUAUACACUAAAGAAAACAUACAUAUGAAUAUCAUUUUCAAUUUUAUUACACACUGUUACACACUUUAAGUACAGUUUUGACAUUUUAAAUAAAUAUUUCCAUUUGGCUCUGCAUUGGUGAAUUUCAACACUAAAAUGCUCUUACAUGUAUAUGUUAGUGAUAAAAACGGAAUAAUAUACUGUAUAAUAAUCACACUAUGAAAUGAGUCAUUCUGCAUGAGCUCUUUUUGAUACUUUAAGUAGGCUACAUUUUACUGAUAAUACUUUGACUUGUAAUGGAGUAUUUUUUAUCAGUGCAUGAACUGAAC